rnacentral:rRNA from 1 species
CCUACGGGAGGCAGCAGUAAGGAAUAUUGGUCAAUGGACGCAAGUCUGAACCAGCCAUGCCGCGUGAAGGAUUAAGGCCCUCUGGGUUGUAAACUUCUUUUAUAGGGGACGAAAAAAGGGCAUUCUUGCUCACUUGACGGUACCCUAGGAAUAAGCACCGGCUAACUCCGUGCCAGCAGCCGCGGUAAUACGGAGGGUGCAAGCGUUAUCCGGAUUUACUGGGUUUAAAGGGUGCGUAGGUGGGUUGGUAAGUCAGUGGUGAAAUCUUCGAGCUUAACUCGGAAACUGCCAUUGAUACUAUCAAUCUUGAAUCAUCUAGAGGUAAGCGGAAUAUGUCAUGUAGCGGUGAAAUGCUUAGAUAUGACAUAGAACACCAAUUGCGAAGGCAGCUUACUAUGGAUGCAUUGACACUGAGGCACGAAAGCGUGGGGAUCAAACAGGAUUAGAUACCCUGGUAGUCCACGCCCUAAACGAUGGAUACUCGACAUUUGUGAUAUACAAUAAGUGUCUGAGCGAAAGCAUUAAGUAUCCCACCUGGAAGUACGACCGCAAGGUUGAAACUUAAAGGAAUUGAACGGCGNGAGAGNGACGAGACGACGACGAGGAGGAGG